UCUGGCCUCCUGGGUGCUCUCUGGGGCUAAUUGGGCUCAACUCUCCAUUCCAGACGGGCCGGUCUCCCUAAGGCUUUUGCUCACGUUGGACCACUUCCCCACCGGUGACUCAUUCAAGCCCUAAACCUCGAUCAGACCCACUCAAUCCCGCCUCCUUCUUCAGAAGGCUGCCCUGGAGCAUUCCAGCCAGGCUUUCGGGUCUACAGAGCAAGAACUGAAGUGAUGAACCGAGCUCCUUAAAAGCAUACUUUAUAUAUAAUUGUUUACAUUAUAUUACUUUCAGGUACACAACGACAUAGUGACUCAAAAAUGUUUAUAUAAUCCAUUUAAAGUUAUUAUAGGAGUUCCCGUCGUGGCGCAGUGGUUAACGAAUCCAACUAGGAACCAUGAGGUUGCGGGUUCAAUCCCUGACCUUGCUUAGUGGGUUAAGGAUCCGGCGUUGCCCUGAGCUGUGGUGUAGGUCGCAGAUGUGACUCAGAUCGGAGUUGCUGCGGCUCUGGUGUAGGCUGGCGGCUACAGCUCCGAUUAGACCCCUAGCCUGGGAAUCUCCAUGUGCUGCAGGAGCAGCCCUAGAAAAGGCAAAAAGACCAAAAAAAUAAAAUAAAAUUAUU
ensembl:lncRNA